rnacentral:lncRNA from 1 species
AUUUCUUAAUAAAAUUUUUCAUACAUUUCUAGUAAAAAAGUUGUCGAACUCGCUUAUAAGUGCGGAGAAAUCCCGAGUGACCAGCAAUUGGUGAUGAAUGGAACUCCUUCAGAAUUAUUGCUUGGCAAGAAGAAUGUGGGGCAACCACUAUUCAGCCUUUAUAGCGCAAGUCCACCGAAUCCCAACUAUAAUUUGAGACAGAACCUGGGGCUUCUUCUAAUUUUUUAAUGAUGUUUUGGAUCUCAGGAUUAUUUGACCAUUCCUUUUUGAUAACUUCCAAAGUCCCGCAAAUAGGAAUAGAAAUAGCUACUAAUUCAGCUUGUUCUGGAAGGCGUGAGAGGGCAUCUGCUACUAAAUUC